rnacentral:lncRNA from 1 species
CUUUUUGCUAUUUCUUUGGGCCACUCCUGCGGCAUAUGGAGGUUCCCAGGCUAGGGGUUGAAUCGGAGCUGUAGCCACCGGCCUACGCCAGAGCCACAGCAACGCGGGAUCCGAGUCGCGUCUGCAACCUACACCACAGCUCACGGCAACGCCGGAUCGUUAACCCACUGAGCAAGGGCAGGGACCGAACCCGCAACCUCAUGGUUCCUAAUUGGAUUCGUUAACCACUGCGCCACGACGGGAACUCCGGAAGUUUUUUUUUAAAAACAUACUAUACAUAUUGUUACUGAUGUUAGUGACUAUAAAGCCUCAAGAAAAAAAAUAACAGCUCUAGAAAAUUUAGCCAUUGGUUUUCCUUUUGCACUGAAGCCUGAAAAACGAAAAUACACGUCAAUGGACCGGGAUCUCCAGGACAAAAUAAGUCAGGCACGGUCCAACGUCUCGCGAGAAUCCGGCUGGCUCCCAGUUUAACAUUAACUCUGCUUCGAAGCCAACCGGGUUGAGAUGGAGAAAGAUCUAGUCUGGCACCUCUGGAGACGACUGGGGAGUCCUUGAUUCGUGCUAACACUUCAAAGAGACUACUGGAAACAGAACCCUAACUCAUCACAAGUCUGCUCCAGCUGUAACAUCAGUUAUUAGCCUUCAGCUACAGCACCAAGAACCCAUCAGAUUAUACCGUUACGGUGAGGAGGCAGAAACCUCUGCAUGUCGGUCACAUGUUUGAUCGGUAAAGGGAAGAUGAAUCAUCACUCCACAAAUAAAAUCUUCAAAAAUAAACAAGAGGUUUUAAAACAAGAAUCCCAUGAGAAAAAAAAUUUAAAACCCUUUCAUAGCCUUUGAGGGGAGAACACCUCCAAGGGACUUCACAAAGGGGCUGCUGGCUUAACAACAACGGUCUAUUUGCCGAGUCCUUCCGGUGUGCUCCCGACACGCUCACAGCUCCAUGAAGGUCCUGCUACUACCCGCAGCUCCUAGGUGAGGAAGCAGCUCAGAGUUCAACAGCUUGUCUGAGGACACUGCACUUCCAAGCGCCACCUUUAAGAACCAAACUCAACGAACUCAAAAGCUUGUUGUUAAUCACCAUAUGAUACUAUUCGAUUCAUCUUCCUGCCCACACUUGCUUGGACGACCUUCGCCUUCCCCACAACUAAAAGGAGCAGACUUCCCACCAGGUUCAAACUCAGGCAGGAAGAACCCUGGGAGAAAAACAAGACGCCUGGCGGGUGCCCGCUGUCUACACACCUGCCACCAGACCUCGGCUCACAGACCAGGUCCGGGGAACUCGGCACCUUCCUAGAUCCUAAGCACAACCACGUACGUGACAGGGAUGGAGAAGAAGAGUUACACGGGAGGUUGUGGGGGUCCCAGUGGGGACCAUGAAUGGAGGGGGACCUGGGGAGCUCUGGGAGAUCACUGCAGGUUGGUGACCGCUCAGGAGGGUUGCCUGACGACGAGUGGAGGCGUGAGAUGUGCCUCAGGUCAUGUGUGUGUGAGGGGGGGGGGAUGGGAUAACGCCUGCAUUCAGGUUCAGACCAAGGGCAGGAGGUUAAGGUCAGCCCUUCCGCCGAUCUGAAUAAGCACCAGGACAGUCCUAGGCUGCCCUCACAGGGUCAGGUGCCCUCGGCGCUACCACUCCAAGAGAGAGGAAGAGGCGGUCUUCUCCCACCCCCACUCCCUUGGACUCUAAAACUGCACCCCCUGAUCCCGGGGGGCAGAGGCUCCUUGCCUGCCCACUUGGGCCUGCGUCUCUCACAAGCGUCCUAUCUUAAUAAAUCUGUCUUGCCCAUCACUUUGUCUCUUGCUUACUUCCUUCUUCGCCAAGGCAUAAAGAACCAGCACUUCAGUAAGUCCAGACGCCACGGUGAGUGAGUGACUCUAAUUUAAAAACCAUGGGCUCAGGUCCCAGGCUGGGUUCCAGUCCCAAGGGCUGUCGUCUCACAAGGAUCCCCUGCUCUGGGGUCCGGCACGAACAGCCCCACACUCUUCAUCCGCCGCCUUCACGACGCGCCUUCCCUCGACCGUGGAGCUCGUCUGUCAGCACCCACCACCGAGCUCAGCAGGCCGAGGAACAGGACAGGCAUCGGACGCUCUUUCAGCUCGGCGUGGCCCUGCCCGCUCGUCCUAACCCUUUCCCCUUUUCUUUAGGUAAGAAUGCCCAGGACAGGGCACAGGCAUUGGUCAACAAAUUACCCAAAAUAAACAGACAAGGGCAACCACAUGUCGGGAUGCAGAGAGGUCACUCAGACCCACACGAGGUGUGCGUUGCCAUCAGCUGGGGUCCUCGGCGGCACCCUCCCUGCCAGCAGCCCCACUGCUGGGCUGAGAGAACCCCCUUCCUGUCCCAGGUCCCUAACUCGAGGGGCACCGUGUGGUCGUGCAGCCUCCUGUGGCUGGAUGUUUUCUGAAAGUCCAGAGAAGGCGACCUCCAAGUUCUCAACCUAGAACAAAGGCCAGAACGCGCCGGCAAUUCAACAAAAUAUUACCUUGCAAUUCUUUUUUUUUUUGUUUUUAUUUUGGGUAACAGCUGCUCGGCAGCGCAUGAAGUUCCCGGGCCAGGGUUUGAAGAUGAGACAACGCCGGAUCCUUUAACCCACUGCACCCGGCCAGGGAUUGAACCUCCACCUCGGCAGCGACAACCGGAGCCGCCAGCAUCAGGCUCUCUCAGUCCCCUGCACCGCGGCAGGAAGUCGUCUUGCAGUUUUCUUCACCAGGGGAAACCAGGCUUGACUCAAGAGACACUUCUGACAGAGCACAGCGGCCAAGCCGACACGACAACGUUUCCUGUCACGGACCUCAAGCAGCAGAGCGGGAUGCAAGCUUCGUUGCCAUGAACCCACUUUGACUUAGGUAGACCAGCGGGCCGGGUUGUCUCCUGAAUAUGAAGGUGAAAACGACCCGGCCUGGAAACCAUAAACAUACCUCAGAGGUGCAGCAAGUUCAAAGAGACUGCUGAAAUGCAGAUCUCAGAAAAAAGGGGCUCAGGCUUUCGCAGGACGAUUUCAUAAAGUGAGGGACAAAGAGCUUCACUAAAUGAAAAGUCGCCAAUUCAAUGGGGCUAGAGGUUGCACACAAACGGCCUCAGUUCUCCCGAGUUAGGGCCGGUUUAAAGCUGUGGUUCUAGGAAGCACUGAAAUCCACCGUGAAUAGCACCUAUUGUGCUAUAACAUGCGUAAAUCGUUUUUAUUUGCAUGAGAAGGGCGCCAAUGACCUCGCACCACAAGAUGUAAUUAAGAAGUAAUUGUAGUAUCUCGGUUAGCCUUAGAUAAAUGCUGGAUUACUGCAAGCAGAAAAGUUGUGAUUUUAACCAGAGAGAGGCAUUUCACUGCUGAGUAUAAAGUCUACCUGGGUCCUUUCCAUGAUAAGGACAGAGCAAGCUGACUAGUAAUUAUAUUCCAUGAUAAAAACAAAAGUCACUGUUCAAUUUCUAAGGCACCAGAAAGAGUUUGGAAUGAAAGAGCUUCACAGAGACAGAACCAAAGAUUCAAGCUACUGGUCAGAGGGCAACUAACUCAGAAAUGCCUGGGAUCAUGUUUCUCUCAAUGAAGCAAAAGCAGGGUUCAUUCCUUUGGGAACUAGUUGAGCGCAUAUUAUGCACUAAGGAUGGCUGGGCAGGAGGUGAGGCUGGCGCUGGGACAGGGAGAGAUGUGGCGAGAAAGGUUUAAGCGGUGAGGAUUUAGAGCAAUCACAGGCACUGAGACGUGCGGGAAAGGUGACCUGGGACCGCUGGAAGACGUGAGGGCCACUUGUAGCUCCACACCAAACAUCUGUGGAGUUCCCAACAGGAGGCAUUCAACGGUUGUUGAAGUGACAAGGGAUGCUGGGCUGUGAGCCCUGGGCGCUGGCCGUAGCUCUGUCACAACUGGACGGCCUUGCCAAGGCCCAUAUCCUCCGGAGGGGUCUUAAAAGUGUUCUUUUCGUUGAUGAAACAAAAAAACUUCAGAGUGUGCCUCCUACAGGACAUCUCUCCUUUUGUGACACAGUUAGUCACACGAGUCAUACGUACAGCUCACACUACUCCAUCCUGUUUACAAGGAAGGUGUGAAAAGUACAGGACAGCAGGUCCCUGGCUGGGUACGGUACCUGUACUGGUUUUAAAUACAUGCUCAGCAAAGAUCAGUUUUGCAUGUCUUAUCCUAGGGGAAGUAAACAGAAUGGCAAAGGACAAAUAGGGGCCACGUUUUGUUUUGUUUUGUUAACUCUUAUAAUGUAUAGUCUAGUAUCCAGAUAAACAGUCUUUAACAGGAGUCCCUGAAUAGGCUUUUGGGGAGGGUUCAUAAACACCCUGAAAUUACACGCACUGGUUUCCUACCUGAAUGCAUGCACAAACUUUGUUUGCAUUUUCAAGUAUAGCAAUAAAGCUCUCUCUGAAAAAAGAAAAAAAAAAAAAAAAAAAGAAGGGGGUUAAGAACCGCUGCUCUAAGAAUGUUCCUCUUCCGGGAGUUCCCUGGUCGCUUAGCAGUUAAGGACUCCGCAUUGUCACUGCUGUGACUCUGGUCUCUGGUCCCAUCCCUGGCUAGGAACUUCCGAAUGCAGCAGGUGCUCCCCCAAAAAGGGAAUGUUCUUUUUUUAAAGCAACUUUCCUAAAGUAAUCAUGGGUCUAAUUCCAACUGUGUCUAUUAACCACUAGGCAAGGAGUUAAAACUGAAUUGCUUUGUACAGCUUAACCCACCACUGUACCGUUUGAAAUACUACACCGUGGUAUUUGAGAUGCUGAACAGCUCAAACAAAAUCGCAUCGAUACAACUCCGGAACCGUACACACGAAUUAGUCCCACAAUUUAAAAACGCGUUUGCAGAAGUUCCCGUUUAGGCUUAGAGGAAACAAAUCUGACUAGCAGCCAGGAGGACACAGGUUCAGUCCCGGCCUUGCUCAGUAGGUUAAGGAUCCGGCGUUGCCGUGAGCUGCGGUGUAGGUCGCAGACGCGGCUCUAACCCCGCUUUGCUGUGGCUGUGGGGUAGGUCAGCAGCUGCAGCUCCGAAUCCCCCCCAGCCUGGGAACCUCCCUAUGGCGCAGGUGCGGCCCUAAAAAAGUUUUUUUUAAUUUUUUAAAAAUAAAAACGCGUUUGCAGAUUUCGUCUUCAUUGACCCCCAUUAGGUGUCACUUCGCCUCUAUGACACCCACCGCGGAAAACAAGCACAAGUUGGCCGCAGAACGGCGACGAACGGGGUGACAUUCUUCUCGCCCACGCCCGUCCCUCCCGGCUCUGCGAUCCCAGGCCUUCCGAGCAUCCGCAGCGGGCGGGCACGUUGCCGGCCACCGGGCAAGGCCACCCGGGGAGCUCUCGCAGACGGACGGCGGCGCCGAGCUCCCGUCGUGCCUCUACCGGCGUCCACUCACGCCUGCGGGAGUCAUGGCCUGUCUCUUGUCAGCCUUCCAUCACGAGCCCCGGCCACGAUGCCUGCCUGACCCCAUUCUCCCCGGCGCCUUGCAGAUGUCAGCCGCGCCCAGCCACGGAAGCAACCCGCGCCCAACGCCUCAAACGCCGGCGACGGGCGACACGUGACCAACGCCCGCAAACCCCGGCCGCCGCUGCCGGCUUCCCGCGAGGCCGGCGCAUGGGGUGU